UACGUAGGGUGCAAGCGUUGUCCGGAAUUAUUGGGCGUAAAGAGCUCGUAGGCGGUCUGUCGCGUCUGCUGUGAAAACUCAGGGCUUAACCCUGAGCUUGCAGUGGGUACGGGCAGACUAGAGUGCGGUAGGGGAGACUGGAAUUCCUGGUGUAGCGGUGAAAUGCGUAGAUAUCGGGAGGAAUACCAGUGGCGAAGGCGGCCUUCUGGACGGAUACUGACGCUGAGGCGCGAAAGCCAGGGGAGCAAACGGG
rnacentral:rRNA from 1 species